CCUCGCCCCGCCCCUCCCGGCGCACUCACGUGAGUCUCGGGCGCGCGCCGUAGCAGCUGGGCCAGCGCGCCGAGGAUACAGGGUUUCACUAUGUAGCCAAGGCUAGUCUUGAAUUCGUGAGCUCAAGUGAAUCACCGGCCUUGGCCUCUCAAGUCUAGGAUUACAGAAGAGGAAACUGAGGUUCACAAUCGGGCAGUGAAAAGCCAAAAGUAAAACCUAGGCUUUCUACAACUCUGCCUGCUCCAACAAAAG